AUCUAGCUGACGAGUCGAAAACAGGACGAUGUGGCACGCGUCCUAGAU
rnacentral:hammerhead_ribozyme from 1 species